rnacentral:rRNA from 1 species
UACGUAGGGUGCGAGCGUUAAUCGGAAUUACUGGGCGUAAAGCGUGCGCAGGCGGUUUUGUAAGCCAGAUGUGAAAGCCCCGGGCUUAACCUGGGAAUGGCAUUUGGGACUGCAAGGCUUGAGUGCGGCAGAGGAGACUGGAAUUCCUGGUGUAGCAGUGAAACGCGUAGAUAUCAGGAGGAAUACCGAUGGCGAAGGCAGGUCUCUGGGCUGACACUGACGCUCAUGCACGAAAGCGUGGGGAGCAAACAGG